GGACUCGUAGCUCAGUUGGUUAGAGCGUUGCAUUGACAUUGCAAAGGUCAGAGGUUCGAAUCCUCUCGGGUCCACCA
rnacentral:tRNA from 1 species